rnacentral:rRNA from 1 species
GAUGAACGCUGGCGGCGUGCCUAAUACAUGCAAGUCGAGCGAACGGACGAGAAGCUUGCUACUCUGAUGUUAGCGGCGGACGGGUGAGUAACACGUGGAUAACCUACCUAUAAGACUGGGAUAACUUCGGGAAACCGGAGCUAAUACCGGAUGAUAUUUUGAACCGCAUGGUUCAAAAGUGAAAGACGGUCUUGCUGUCACUUAUAGAUGGAUCCGCGCUGCAUUAGCUAGUUGGUAAGGUAACGGCUUACCAAGGCAACGAUGCAUAGCCGACCUGAGAGGGUGAUCGGCCACACUGGAACUGAGACACGGUCCGGACUCCUACGGGAGGCAGCAGUAGGGAAUCUUCCGCAAUGGGCGAAAGCCUGACGGAGCAACGCCGCGUGAGUGAUGAAGGUCUUCGGAUCGUAAAACUCUGUUAUUAGGGAAGAACAUAUGUGUAAGUAACUGUGCACAUCUUGACGGUACCUAAUCAGAAAGCCACGGCUAACUACGUG